GACGAACGCUGGCGGCGUGCCUAAUACAUGCAAGUCGAGCGAGCUUGCCUAGAUGAAUUUGGUGCUUGCACCAAAUGAAACUAGAUACAAGCGAGCGGCGGACGGGUGAGUAACACGUGGGUAACCUGCCCAAGAGACUGGGAUAACACCUGGAAACAGAUGCUAAUACCGGAUAACAACACUAGACGCAUGUCUAGAGUUUAAAAGAUGGUUCUGCUAUCACUCUUGGAUGGACCUGCGGUGCAUUAGCUAGUUGGUAAGGUAACGGCUUACCAAGGCAAUGAUGCAUAGCCGAGUUGAGAGACUGAUCGGCCACAUUGGGACUGAGACACGGCCCAAACUCCUACGGGAGGCAGCAGUAGGGAAUCUUCCACAAUGGACGCAGGUCUGAUGGAGCAACGCCGCGUGAGUGAAGAAGGGUUUCGGCUCGUAAAGCUCUGUUGGUAGUGAAGAAAGAUAGAGGUAGUAACUGGCCUUUAUUUGACGGUAAUUACUUAGAAAGUCACGGCUAACUACGUGCCAGCAGCCGCGGUAAUACGUAGGUGGCAAGCGUUGUCCGGAUUUAUUGGGCGUAAAGCGAGUGCAGGCGGUUCAAUAAGUCUGAUGUGAAAGCCUUCGGCUCAACCGGAGAAUUGCAUCAGAAACUGUUGAACUUGAGUGCAGAAGAGGAGAGUGGAACUCCAUGUGUAGCGGUGGAAUGCGUAGAUAUAUGGAAGAACACCAGUGGCGAAAGGCGGCUCUCUGGUCUGCAACUGACGCUGAGGCUCGAAAGCAUGGGUAGCGAACAGG
rnacentral:rRNA from 1 species